GAUGAACGCUGGCGGCGUGCCUAAUACAUGCAAGUCGAGCGAACAGACUAGUAGCUUGCUCCUCUGAUGUUAGCGGCGGACGUGUGAGUAACACGUGGAUAACCUACCUAUAAGACUGGUAUACCUUCGGGAAACCGGAUCUAAUACCGUAUAAUAUAUUUAACCGCAUGGUUCAAUAGUGAAAUACGGUUUUGCUUUCACUUAUAGAUUGAUCCGCGCCUCAUUAGCUAGUUGGUAAGGUAACGGCUUACCAAGGCAACGAUGCGUAGCCGACCUGAGAGGGUGAUCGGCCACACUGGAACUGAGACACGGUCCAGACUCCUACGGGAGGCAGCAGUAGGGAAUCUGCCGCAAGGGGCGAAAGCCUGACGGAGCAACGCCGCGUGAGUGAUGAAGGUCUUCGGAUCGUAAAACUCUGUUAUUAGGGAAGAACAAAUGUGUAAGUAACUAUGCACGUCUUGACGGUACCUAAUCAGAAAGCCACGGCUAACUACGUG
rnacentral:rRNA from 1 species